rnacentral:rRNA from 1 species
UGACGAAGGUUAAUCCGAAGUGACUCCCGCUGAGGGGGUCUUUUGUCAGCUGUAAAUAGACAGGCGAAUAAGGGGAGGGCAAGCCUGGUGUCAGCCGCCGCGGUAAUACCAGCUCCUCGAGUGGUCGGGGCGAUUAUUGGGCCUAAAGCAUCCGUAGCCGGUUCCGUAGGUCCUCUGUUAAAUCCAACCGCUCAACGGUUGACCUGCAGAGGAUACCGCGGGACUAGGAGGCGGGAGAGGCGGACGGUACUCCGCGUGUAGGGGUAAAAUCCUUUGAUCCGCGGAAGACCACCAGUGGCGAAGGCGGUCCGCCAGAACGCGCUCGACGGUGAGGGAUGAAAGCUGGGGGAGCGAACCGGAUUAGAUACCCGGGUAGUCCCAGCCGUAAACGAUGCUAGCUAGAUGAUUCAUUCGCAAGUCGCGGAUGAAGUGUCGCAGGGAAGCCGUUAAGCUAGCCGCCUGGGGAGUACGGUCGCAAGAC